rnacentral:rRNA from 1 species
GACGAACGCUGGCGGCGUGCUUAACACAUGCAAGUCGAACGCUGAAGCUUGGUGCUUGCGCUGGGUGGAUGAGUGGCGAACGGGUGAGUAAUACGUGAGUAACCUGCCCUUGACUCUGGGAUAAGCCUGGGAAACUGGGUCCAAUACUGGAUACGACAUGUCACCGCAUGGUGGUGUGUGGAAAGGGUUUUACUGGUUUUGGAUGGGCUCACGGCCUAUCAGCUUGUUGGUGGGGUAAUGGCUCACCAAGGCGACGACGGGUAGCCGGCCUGAGAGGGUGACCGGCCACACUGGGACUGAGACACGGCCCAGACUCCUACGGGAGGCAGCAGUGGGGAAUAUUGCACAAUGGGCGGAAGCCUGAUGCAGCGACGCCGCGUGAGGGAUGACGGCCUUCGGGUUGUAAACCUCUUUCAGCACGGAAGAAGCGAAAGUGACGGUACGUGCAGAAGAAGCGCCGGCUAACUACGUG